CGCCCCUGACAACGGGCAACGAGACACCUUGUUGGUGGUGGUGUUCAUAUACCAGACAGGGGCAGAGCAGGUGGCUGUCCUAAGUUCAUCCUAGCUUGAUGCCUGACUUGCUGGACAAAGCUGUCUUAUGCCUAGGGCUCAUAA